GGGGAAUUUUGCGCAAUGGGGGAAACCCUGACGCAGCAACGCCGCGUGGAGGAUGAAGUCCCUUGGGACGUAAACUCCUUUCGACCCGGAAGAUGGUGACGGUACGGGGAGAAGAAGCUGCGGCUAACUACGUGCCAGCAGCCGCGGUAAUACGUAGGCAGCGAGCGUUGUUCGGAGUUACUGGGCGUAAAGCGUGCGUAGGCGGCGGCCCAAGUCUGGUGUGGAAUCUCCCGGCUUAACCGGGAGGGUGCGCUAGAAACUGGGUUGCUGGAGUACCGGAGAGGCAGGCGGAAUUCCUGGUGUAGCGGUGAAAUGCGUAGAUAUCAGGAGGAACACCCGUGGUGUAGACGGCCUGCUGGACGGUCACUGACGCUGAGGCACGAAAGCGUGGGGAGCAAAC
rnacentral:rRNA from 1 species